rnacentral:rRNA from 1 species
GACGAACGCUGGCGGCGUGCUUAACACAUGCAAGUCGAACGGAAAGGCCCUGCUUUUGUGGGGUGCUCGAUUGGCGAACGGGUGAGUAACACGUGAGUAACCUGCCCUUGACUUUGGGAUAACUUCAGGAAACUGGGGCUAAUACCGGAUAGGAGCUCCUUCUGCAUGUUGGGGGUUGGAAAGUUUCGUCGGUUGGGGAUGGACUCGCGGCUUAUCAGCUUGUUGGUGAGGUAGUUGCUUACCAAGGCUUUGACGGGUAGCCGGCCUGAGAGGGUGACCGGCAACAUUGGGACUGAGAUACGGCGCAGACUGCUACGGGAGGCAGCAGUGGGGAAUAUGGCAAAAUGGGCGGAAGCCUGAUGCAGCAACGCCGCGUGCGGGAUGACGGCCUUCGGGUUGUAAACCGAUUUCGACUGUGACGAAGCGUGAGUGACGGUAAUGGGUAAAGAAGCAACGGCUAACUACGUG